rnacentral:snoRNA from 1 species
GUCCUUGGCCUUGUUGCGCCAUCUGUGCUGGGUUCUUUCGGGGGCUUGGCCGUUUGGUGCGCCUGGCCUAAAAAGCAUUCACGCUGUGUCUCUCGAUGCACAGUUAAGGAAUGCAACGUCGCAGAUGAACCUGCCCCUCGGGUGGCGGGCGCUUGAUAUAUUCCAGUAACGGUGCGCAGCCGCUCAGGCUAUGAUCGCUCGGUUAAACCAUAUCACGUACAGUC